GCUUCUCAGCCUUUUGGCUAAUAUCAAGUGU
rnacentral:snRNA from 1 species